rnacentral:antisense_RNA from 1 species
UGUGGGAGCGGGCUUGCUCGCGAAUGCUGAGUGUCAGGCACUUGAUGUAUUGACUGAUACUCCGCAUUCGCGAGCAAGCCCGCUCCCACA